rnacentral:rRNA from 1 species
AACGAACGCUGGCGGCAGGCUUAACACAUGCAAGUCGAACGGUUGUAGCAAUACAGCAGUGGCAGACGGGUGAGUAACACGUGGGAACCUUCCUAGGGGUACGGAACAACUCAGGGAAACUUGAGCUAAUACCGUAUACGUCCGUGAGGAGAAAGAUUUAUCGCCCUUAGACGGGCCCGCGUCGGAUUAGCUAGUUGGUGGGGUAACGGCCUACCAAGGCGACGAUCCGUAGCUGAUCUUAGAGGAUGAUCAGCCACACUGGGACUGAGACACGGCCCAGACUCCUACGGGAGGCAGCAGUGGGGAAUCUUGGACAAUGGGCGCAAGCCUGAUCCAGCCAUGCCGCGUGAGUGAAGAAGGUCUUCGGAUUGUAAAGCUCUUUUACCAGGGACGAUAAUGACGGUACCUGGAGAAUAAGCCCCGGCAAACUUCGUGCCAGCAGCCGCGGUAAUACGAAGGGGGCUAGCGUUGUUCGGAAUUACUGGGCGUAAAGCGCACGUAGGCGGGUCGUUAAGUCAGGGGUGAAAUCCCGGAGCUCAACUCCGGAACUGCCUUUGAUACUGGCGAUCUUGAGAUCGGAAGAGGUGAGUGGAAUUCCCAGUGUAGAGGUGAAAUUCGUAGAUAUUGGGAAGAACACCAGUGGCGAAGGCGGCUCACUGUCCGAUAC